rnacentral:piRNA from 1 species
UAAAAUGGAGGAAUGGAUAACGUGUGAAUC